rnacentral:tRNA from 1 species
GCUCUGGUGGUGUAAAGGUUAGCAUUGGAGGCUGUCACCCUCCCGAUCCGGGUUCAAGUCCCGGCCAGAGCG